rnacentral:lncRNA from 1 species
AAACUUCAUACAUACAUCACAUGCAUCAUGACAACCUUUAGAUCAAUAUCGAUUACAUCUAAUGUAAUAUGUUAUUCAGAUUCUAAAAUAAUUUUAUAUUUAAUUUUAUCUUGUUAUAAUGAAUCAUAAAUUACUUUAGAUCUAAUAUAAAUAUAUUUAUGAUCAAAAUAAUUCAUAAAAUUCUGUUUGCUUUUCUUCUUCAUGA